rnacentral:rRNA from 1 species
AUUGAACGCUGGCGGCAUGCCUUACACAUGCAAGUCGAACGGCAGCACGGGGGCAACCCUGGUGGCGAGUGGCGGACGGGUGAGUAAUGCAUCGGAACGUGCCCUGAAGUGGGGGAUAACGCAGCGAAAGCUACGCUAAUACCGCAUAUUCUGUGAGCAGGAAAGCAGGGGAUCGCAAGACCUUGCGCUUUGGGAGCGGCCGAUGUCGGAUUAGCUAGUUGGUGGGGUAAAGGCCUACCAAGGCGACGAUCCGUAGCGGGUCUGAGAGGAUGAUCCGCCACACUGGGACUGAGACACGGCCCAGACUCCUACGGGAGGCAGCAGUGGGGAAUUUUGGACAAUGGGCGAAAGCCUGAUCCAGCCAUGCCGCGUGAGUG